rnacentral:rRNA from 1 species
AUUGAACGCUGGCGGAAUGCUUUACACAUGCAAGUCGAACGGUAGAGGGGGCAACCCUCGAGAGUGGCGAACGGGUGAGUAAUAUAUCGGAACGUGCCCAGUAGUGGGGGAUAGCCCGGCGAAAGCCGGAUUAAUACCGCAUACGACCUACGGGUGAAAGGGGGGGAUCGCAAGACCUCUCGCUAUUGGAGCGGCCGAUAUCAGAUUAGGUAGUUGGUGGGGUAAAAGCCUACCAAGCCUGCGAUCUGUAGUUGGUCUGAGAGGACGACCAGCCACACUGGAACUGAGACACGGUCCAGACUCCUACGGGAGGCAGCAGUGGGGAAUUUUGGACAAUGGACGCAAGUCUGAUCCAGCCAUUCCGCGUGCAGGAUGAAGGCCCUCGGGUUGUAAACUGCUUUUGUACAGGAAGAAACACCUCUACGUGUAGAGACUUGACGGUACUGUAAGAAUAAGGAUCGGCUAACUCCGUG